GUGAAUUUACAGCUUAUUUCAUUCUUUAUUAUCUAAAGUCACUUCUGCUUCUAAUUUAUUAUCAGUGAAACACUUCUUGCUGAUUUUUCACAAUAAAAGACUACAAUCACAGGAAGGGUUCAUCACAUGUAUCCUUCCCCUCAGCAUCCUCCAGCCCAGCUGAUCAGAGCACGUGGAGCAGGUUUCUUUUAGGGGACUUCAAGGUUUUUGUGAAAAUGGUGCAGUCCUUGGAGGGACGGGAUUAAAUCCUCGUAAGAAACUUUUAAACUUUGCAGCACGAGUCUCGAGGCCUUUUCCUGCAGUCUAAGAUGAUACAAAGAGAACUGAUGAGACACUUCUUGCGUUCCUGUAACAGAUUGUGGUGCUCGUACUUCAGCUGAGACAGACGGCUUCAUUACUGUUGUUGUCUUGUGUCAGUUGUAAAGUUACUACAGCACCAGAGAAGCUAACACAACUCUAAUAACUCUGCUCUGGAACCAGCCCGUCCAGCAGGAGCCUGACUGUGUUCCCCUCGCCUUAACAAACCUCUGAGUGCUCCAGUUCUUCCUCUCUAAAACACAAAGAACAGCUUAUCUGAAGCACCGACCAGCUCCCGGCGGACGCUCAUUUACGAGGCAGAGUUUCCUCUCUGAUCCUUCUGGUGCAGCGAUAAAAAUAAAACCAGCCAAGGUCACAGACGGUCGGUUUGGCUCAUCAGCUCCUCUCGAGGUCGCUCAUCAUCAUCGGAGGUCGAGACCGCGAGAAGUCCUGAAGCUGUCGGUGUGUUAAUCUUCCAAGGCUUCAGCUCACGAACAGAGAAGGUUACGAGUGACUGUGGAGGAACAAACGAACACUGAGAGACACAGAAACAGAUCGACACCAUCAACACAACGCUCGGCAAUAAAAGAUGACGUGAGUCUUUAUCGACACUCUGCCCGUCUGCUCUCUGUGGCCCAGAGACACUGAAGGAGUCGGUGAGUUUAAAGAGGAAAGUCGUCUGGAAGUCUGCUCAACACCAUCGCCUUCACCGCGGAGUGACAGUAAUUGUCAGCUCGCCGCCCCGUUCAGCUCGGCAGCCAUUCAUCCCACAACGCCAUUCAUCAACCAGGCCAAUCAAACGCGCCUCGCCCCGUGACAUCAUAAGUGGGUCGCCCUCCCGGAUGAUUGCGGUUGCUAUGCCAACCAAAGGAAGUUACAAUUACGUGUGUGCGUGUGUGUUUUAGUGACGGUCUAACUGAGAUCAGUCGUGUGUGGAUGAAGUCUGUCAGCGACACACUGACAACAAGAAGCCGCUUUAAUGUUCAGUUUUAACGUCCUUCUGUUGUUAAAACGCCUGAAAUCAAGCCAGUGAAAAGCAACAUGAUUCUUACUGUCAUGUUUUUAUUUCUGUCCUUGUACUUUAUUCAUGGACUGUUUCUGUGUCCUUGUUUGUGAUAUUUACAUUUCAGAUUUUGAUGUUUCAUGUGGCAGAAAAGCAUCAACCCACCAGCAUGUCACACAACAUGUCACACAACAGAACAACUCGGCAUGUUUCACUUUCUGAAAUGUGUUAUCAGAAAAUGUUUUCUGAUAUUUCUUUUCUUUUCUGAGUUGUCAUUGUGGUUCCAGAGGUGCCACUGUAAUAUUCUACAUUGCUGCAAACAGUGAGAGGUUAUUAUAACCUGAGGGAAUAACAAAUAAAAAAGACACGUUUCACUAUGUGUUAAAGGGUUUGACCCAUAGAAACACAGUCUCUGCUCCGUCAUAGUUUCAUCUUACAGAUUCUAUAAACACGACAGCGACGGUCAGAUUCAUAAACUCAUUCUGGACAUCUGACGUCCAAAGUCCUGCAGCUGAAAGACGCCUGAAGAACACCCGAGAUGUGACAACAGACAAACAAUUAACACUGAGCGAAAGAGCAUCCAUCACUUCCUGACAGGCUGACAGCGCCAACACAGCUCGUCCUGAUUGGAUCAGUCGUGGAGGGAAAAGAAGAAGCAAACGUCGUCCUGCUGAAGUUCAGAAGCAGCAGAGCGAAAAACACGACGCACAGAAAAACUCUCCAGCUGCUGAUGGAGUGACUUCUCACACAGAGAGGAAACUGCUAACAUGUACGGCCGACUGAGAAUAAAUCCUGAUACUAAAAUAUACAAAUAUGAAUAUGUUUAGCAUCCAGACUGUCUGCUGACAUUAUCAGUGUUGUUGUUAUAAAACCACAUAAUGAAUUUAAACAGAAAAUCAGGACGUGUGUGUUUCGUCUUCAGUGACCUGCUGCUGCCUCUCAGACUGACUCUGCACACAGAUAAACUGAUUACCAGGAGGCCACAUCAGUCUGUCUGCCUGUCUGUCUGUCUGUCUGUCUGUCAGCCUGUCUGUCAGCCUGUCUGUCAGCCUGUCUGUCUG